rnacentral:misc_RNA from 1 species
UAUACAAGCAGGAUGAAACCUGAAUCAAAAGUAGUAUGUUGAAUGAUGCAUCAGAUUUGCAUAAAUUGGAAAUGUAUGCAGCGUGUAAUCUGUUCUGUCACAAAAGCAAUAAUGUGAAAAACAAAACACAACUUGAAAAAAUGGCAUGUAAGCAUUAAGCCUUUUAAAAACUCUGUUGAUAACUACUUUAUAAAGGGGUCCAAUAGAUAGCAUCAGAUCUUAAUCUAACAAGUUCCUUGAAGUGA